AUUGAACGCUGGCGGCAUGCCUUACACAUGCAAGUCGAGCGGCAGCGCGGGGGCAACCCUGGCGGCGAGCGGCGAACGGGUGAGUAAUACAUCGGAACGUGUCCAGUAGUGGGGGAUAACCAGUCGAAAGACUGGCUGAUACCGCAUACGAUCCACGGAUGAAAGCGGGGGACCGCAAGGCCUCGCGCUAUUGGAGCGGCCGAUGUCGGAUUAGCUUGUUGGCGGGGUAAAAGCCCACCAAGGCGACGAUCCGUAGCUGGUCUGAGAGGACGACCAGCCACACUGGAACUGAGACACGGUCCAGACUCCUACGGGAGGCAGCAGUGGGGAAUUUUGGACAAUGGGCGCAAGCCUGAUCCAGCCAUGCCGCGUGAGUGAAGAAGGCCUUCGGGUUGUAAAGCUCUUUCGGCGGGGACGAAACGGUCCGUGCCAACACCACGGACUAAUGACGGUACUCGCAGAAGAAGCACCGGCUAACUACGUGCCAGCCGCCGCGGUAA
rnacentral:rRNA from 1 species